AAAAGCUGCAAGACGCCUGGACCUCACACUGAGGAGAUAAGUGGCCCUAAAAGACAAACACGAAACCAUGACUUUGUGGUUUUCUUCUAUUAUUUGGGGGAAGACAGGGAGAACAGCUGGUGAUCUACAGAGCCCGGCCUCUGUGUGGGCUUUAGUCCUUUGAAUAUCAGUGCCCUCUGGAGGUCGAACUCGGAGAAGCGAAGGUCCUUGCUACCAGAGGUCAAGUUCCCAUUGCAGCAAUGGGGGGAAAAAUUGCAAAUCUGAGGAGAUGGCAUUGAAAGAAACCAGGAAAAAGGAAAUGGAAGCAAUUGACACGCUGAACUUUAUUUCUCAGCCAUGGACAUAGCCUGGGAACCCCACUCUUAUCUUAUGGGAAGUAGUCCUUUUAGCCAUUCAAAAAAAAAAAUGAAAUAAAAUUACAGUGCUAUGGUAUGUUCAAA